GGGGAUAUAGCUCAGCUGGGAGAGCACCUGCCUUGCAAGCAGGGGGUCAGGGGUUCAAAUCCCCUUAUCUCCA
rnacentral:tRNA from 1 species